GACGAACGCUGGCGGCGUGCUUAGCACAUGCAAGUCGAACGGAAAGGCCCUGCUUUUGUGGGGUGCUCGAGUGGCGAACGGGUGAGUAACACGUGAGUAACCUGCCCUUGACUUUGGGAUAACUUCAGGAAACUGGGGCUAAUACCGGAUAGGAGCUCCUGCUGCAUGGUGGGGGUUGGAAAGUUUCGGCGGUUGGGGAUGGACUCGCGGCUUAUCAGCUUGUUGGUGGGGUAGUGGCUUACCAAGGCUUUGACGGGUAGCCGGCCUGAGAGGGUGACCGGCCACAUUGGGACUGAGAUUCGGCCCAGACUCCUACGGGAGGCAGCAGUGGGGAAUAUUGCACAAUGGGCGGAAGCCUGAUGCAGCAACGCCGCGUGCGGGAUGACGGCCUUCGGGUUGUAAACCGCUUUCGCCUGUGACGAAGCGUGAGUGACGGUAAUGGGUAAAGAAGCACCGGCUAACUACGUG
rnacentral:rRNA from 1 species